rnacentral:rRNA from 1 species
UACAGAGGGUGCAAGCGUUAAUCGGAUUUACUGGGCGUAAAGCGUGUGUAGGUGGCUUCCUAAGUCGGUUGUGAAAUCCCUGGGCUCAACCUGGGAAUUGCAGUCGAUACUGGGAAGCUCGAGUUCGGUAGAGGGCGGCGGAAUUCCCGGUGUAGCGGUGAAAUUCGUAGAUAUCGAGAAGAACACCGGUGGCGAAGGCCGCCAUCUGGACAGAUACUGACGCUGAGACGCGAAAGCGUGGGGAGCAAACAGG